UGUAUGGUGUAUGGUGUAUGGUGUAUGAGUGUUUCUACGAACUGAUUCAUUAAUAGCAGAAAACACGCAGUUUUUUUUUUUUUUUUCUUCUUUUUUUUGUUACAUAUACAUAUAUGUACUUAUACAUGUAAAUAUUUUUAAUAUAUAACAAUCACAUAUUUGCUUUUAUCAAAAAUUAAACGCAGAUUAAAGAAUUGAAAAAUAAGUUGAGAAUGAAAGAUGAAGUUAUAGAAUAUACCAACAGAGAGAUAGAAAGUAUUAAGGAAUCGUUCUGUAACGAGUACGAAAACAAAAUAAAAAAAUUGAAUGAAGAUAAGGAUAAAGAAAUGCAUAUAAUGAAAAAGAAGUAUAAUGAGCUGCACGAAGAAAUAAUCCUUAACAAAAACGAAGUAUCUAAACUGACUAAAAUGUUAGAAGAUGCAAAUAAAAAAAUAAAAAAAAGAGAUAUGGAGAUGUACAUACUACUCGAGGAAAAUAAAAAACAAAAAGAAAAGGCUGCCAAAAAAAUGACUAAAGUUAAUGAGUUGUUAAGUAAUCUACAAAAGGAAUAUGUUGAUAAUAUUCCAUAAAAAAAAAGUAAAAAAAAGUAAAAAAAAAAAAAACUGGAAACUGAAAUAUACUAAGUUAGACUUUAUCAAAUACAAGUGUUUUUUUUUUUUUUUAUAAAUUUUCAAAAAUUGCUAAGCUUUAUGUCAUAAUGUUACACAUUAUAAAAACGUGUAUAUAUAUUUUUGAAUGUGUGUGUUUGUUCUAAGGAUAUGAAUAUAUAUUAUAUGUAUAUAUACCGAAGGUAUAAUCUACCUUCUUUUCAUUUUUUCUGUAUGUCUUAUUUUUUUCUUUUAACACAUGAAUAAAUGAACGUAUUAAUUUGUUUUUAUUUUUCA
ensembl:lncRNA